UACAGUGCCCUCUUUCCUCUCUCACUAAAUCCGGUCACCGGAUUUCUUACCGGCGACGUCACCCCGGUCGCGUUCCGGCCACACACGCACUCACCCACCUCCCUUCUUCUCCGAUGAGACACCCACGUUCGCUCUCUGACUCUCUCUCCUCGUUUUACCGACACCGCCGCUAUGGCGGUGGUGAGGGUGCUGGUAAUGACGAUGAUGAGCUGAUGUUGUUGAUGAGGAUGGCGGCGACACGUCGACGAUGGCCAGAGAAGACAGCGGCGACAACAGUCAGCACGGGUCAGGCCCUGCUCCGAUGAAGACAAGCUGAGAGUGAUGACCGGUGACACAAUUUUUGACGACCGCUGUUGAUGAUCUUUUUCCGUAAACAACCAAACUCCGGUAGUGUUGAAGAGGAUGAUUUACCAAUGACAAUGGGUUAAUGAUGAUGUGCUGGGGUGGCCGACGGCGGCACCGUCGGAGCCACAUCAGUGGCGGCGACAGUGAAUAGGUGAACACGUUCAAGUUUUCUUUUGGUUCGAAGUUUUUUUUUCUCUCUGGUUGUUUCGGGCUCGGAUCAGACGCCGGCACGAUGGGUUCACACACAGACAGAUUUGUUUUCUUUGUUCAGGUCCUACUUAGACUCGGUUCUGGUUCAAGUCGUGGACUCGGUUCAAAGUGGUUUGAGUUUUAUUUCAGAUUCAGCUCUAAUUUAGUUCAGGUGCACGUCAGUUGUGGUUCAGGUUCGUGAAACGGUUCGACUCGGUGCAACACGACUCGACUCGGCAACUCACUAGUCGACUCGGUCAAACCCGAGUCAACUCGGGUCAGCAGCAGUCAACACAACAAAAACUGGUCAACCCGGUUCACAUUUUUUAUUCGGUGUUCGAAUCCAUUGCGGUCAACAAAAGUCGGCGGUCAAACUUUGGUCAACGACAGUCAACUGUCGGGUCAAAGGCGGUCAACUCAGGACCCGGAAUGCUUUAGUUGCACGCUAGCGAGUUCACAUUCGUGGGAUGACACUACGGAAUCACGCUAGGCUAGCAUUGCACAGGAAGGUCAAGGUUGCAUUUUCAAAACUAUGGAACGGUUGGAAUAGGAGAAUCCAUGGGAAUUCGAGUA